rnacentral:rRNA from 1 species
UGGGGAAUAUUGCACAAUGGGCGCAAGCCUGAUGCAGCAACGCCGCGUGAAUGAUGAAGGUCUUCGGAUCGUAAAGUUCUGUUGCAGGGGAAGAUAAUGACGGUACCCUGUGAGGAAGCCCCGGCUAACUACGUGCCAGCAGCCGCGGUAAUACGUAGGGGGCUAGCGUUAUCCGGAUUUACUGGGCGUAAAGGGUGCGUAGGUGGUCUUUCAAGUCGGUGGUUAAAGGCUACGGCUCAACCGUAGUUAGCCUCCGAAACUGGAAGACUUGAGUGCAGGAGAGGAAAGUGGAAUUCCCAGUGUAGCGGUGAAAUGCGUAGAUAUUGGGAGGAACACCAGUAGCGAAGGCGGCUUUCUGGACUGCAACUGACACUGAGGAACGAAAGCGUGGGUAGCAAACAGG